GGUCUGGUGGUCUAGGGGUAUGAUUGUCGCUUAGGAUAAACCCUUCCCGGGUUCAAAUCCCGGCCAGACCC
rnacentral:tRNA from 1 species